CUUUGUGAUGGUAUUUGUCGAAUAAAAAAGGGGCCCUGUAAGUGUUUUGCAUCACAGAUUUAUAAUGUCAAACGUUUAGAUUGAAAAUCCCAGAAAUGAGGCUAUGUGAUAUUUGAAUGCUUUAAGAGGGAGAAUGCAGACCAAGUUUUACUGUUCAGUAUUGAAAUUACUUCUCUCAAAACCUAAACCUUUAUCCUUGUGACCCUGAAACUUUACCAUGCACCUAGCAGUGG
rnacentral:misc_RNA from 1 species